AUGGCGUCGACACCUCGCCGUCUUGAAGCCCCGCCGACGACACUGCUCACGCUACCCGAGGAGCUUCUCGAGGAAGUCCUCGUCCGCCUCCCCGCGGCCGCUGACCUCGCCCGCGCCUCCGUUGCCUGGGUCUCCUUCCGCCGCCUCGUCACCGACCACCGCUUCCUCCGCCGCUUCCGCGCCCGCCAGCCGCCGCCUCUCCUAGGCAUCGUUUCCCAUCGAUCCCACCGGUACCUGCCGCUGCUGCAGCUGGCCCAGCCGCCGCACCCAUCCGCCGCCGGGGCGAGCACUUUCGCGGGCUCUCACGCCGCUGACUUCGCGUGCUCCUUCCUCCCCUCCGCCGAGCGCUGGCAUGUGCGUGACUUGCGGGACAGCCACGUCCUCCUCUCUGGCGUCCCAGAGGGGAGCAAAUUCAGUUGCCGCGUCUUGGUCAGGGACCUGGCCGUCUGUGAUCCCCUGUACCGGCGCUACACCCUACUGCCUGCCAUCCCCGACGACCUCGCCGCUUUAGCGCGGCAGUCGGACAUGGGGCAUUUCGAGCCCUUCCUAGCUCCUCCGGCCACCGAGGAUGAGGAUGGCAUUUCAUUCAGGGUUAUUUGCUGGCGCGCUGCACAACCAGGCUGGUCCUCCUCAUCUUCUCUUCAGGUUCAGGUGAUGGACAGUGGCGCGCUGUUACACUUGACAAUUGGGUCAGUUUGCUCACAGGAUUGGACAACCCGGCUCCAGGCGUCAUGCCAGAAUCGUACUUGUGGCCGCGAAUGCGCCACUACGCACACGGAUACUUCUGUUGGGCAUUUUAUCCGGCGAACAAAAACAAGUUGA
rnacentral:rRNA from 1 species